CCUACGGGUGGCAGCAGUGAGGAAUAUUGGUCAAUGGACGAAAGUCUGAACCAGCCAUGCCGCGUGAAGGAUGACGGCUCUAUGGGUUGUAAACUUCUUUUGUAAAGGAAUAAACCGAGAUACGUGUGUCGGUUUGCAUGUAUCGUACGAAUAAGGAUCGGCUAACUCCGUGCCAGCAGCCGCGGUAAUACGGAGGAUCCGAGCGUUAUCCGGAUUUAUUGGGUUUAAAGGGUGCGUAGACGGUUUGUUAAGUUAGAGGUGAAAGGUUGGGGCUCAACCCCAAAACUGCCACUAAUACUGGUAGACUAGAGAAUAGUUGCGGUAGGCGGAAUGUAUGGUGUAGCGGUGAAAUGCUUAGAUAUCAUACAGAACCCCGAUUGCGAAGGCAGCUUACCAAACUAUAUCUGACGUUGAGGCACGAAAGCGUGGGUAGCAAACAGGAUUAGAUACCCUUGUAGUC
rnacentral:rRNA from 1 species